ensembl:lncRNA
CCCUGCUAUAAUUGGCUCACGACCCUGCCGCUCACACGUCGGUGUCCCGCCCCGCCCCUCACCGGGGCGGGACGGAGCGCCCCCUUGCGGCGGUGGCGAUGCCGCUGAUGCCGGGUCCUCGCGGGGGUCGGGCCGCGCUCGGGCCUCGCCGGGAAGGGCUCGGCCGUGUACGGGGCACCGCCGCGGGCUCCGCCGGGCCCGGGGGGCCGCUGUCCAACGGCUCUGAGCCGCGGCUGAGCCAUUCGGGUCCGCAGGCCGCGCGGGUCCUUACAGGUUGUCCGUGCGGCCUGCGAGGCUGCGGCCCCUCAGCCGAGGCCAGAGUGGGACCACGGGGGUGACCCGGCACCGCUGUCCCCUCCCUGCUGCCCGUCUCAGGUCCAGCCCGGCCCCUCUCGGAGCUGAGCCCCCGUGGCAGUGGCACACGGGGUGUUCGUGGCUCCCCAGCCCGCCUGGGGCCGGCGGUGCGGAGGCGGCUCCACCGUCUGUCGGCAGCCUGCGGAAGGGUUGUGAAGGAAAUGGAAGUUUCUUUUCAAGAGACUGUUCCCUGGGCAAGACCUGAUGAGCUUAACAUCUCAAGGGACUGGGAGGGACCAGAGGAUGCACGAGAGUGACAGGAUGAGCUUUAAGUUUCUUCCAACCCAAACCAUUCUGGGAUUCUCUCAACCUGGUGAGUUGAUGACUCCUGUAAUUUUGACCAGGACUACCAUCCUAUUCCAGAGGCGAAUUUCUCACUUGGAACAUUUCUGCAAUACUGGGAGAAAUUACUUUUUUUUUUUUUUUGUGAAGGGACUGAAAACUGAAUCCCCAGGUACAGCAAAUGGGCUGUGCUGGGGUUGUGCCAGCUGGGUUCCUGCAUCCUUAAAAGCAGAUCGUAACAAAUCAAUGACUUUGCUCCGGGUGGGGAGGAACUGUGCAAAGCACUGCUGGGAUGAUGGGGCAAUCUGGAAAUAGCUUUUUAGCAUGUGGGCUGUCAGGAGCUCUUGUAUAAGCAAUUCUCCCAGCAUAUCUCUCUAUUGUGGCUUUUCAGCUGAAAUGAUUGUCACACCAGGACCUUCCUGGAGCUGCCCAGCAGGGUGUGUGACAGGCUGUUUGCAUCACAGGCCUUCCCAGUCCCUGUGCAUUGGAUAUCAAAUCCCAGCUGAUGGGAAAUGGCCUGCAUAGAGCAGCAAGGCCAUUCCUCCCACUGUGGCUUGUCUCAACUGCCUGUCUGCAUUAUCCUUAAUGUACUUUCUGGAAACCUGCCUCCUACCUUGGGGCUGCUCCCAGAGGAGGUUUAAUGGGUUUGAUUCAUCCACUGUUGCAGCAAGAUGAUUAAUAAUUGAAGAAAUUACAUCUUUCCUGAGUAGAGAUGGAGGAAAGGAGGAGCAAAGGAGAGCACUGGACAAAGGACAGCAGUAUCCUUGUGACCUCUCCCACCCUCCACCUCGCUCAGAACAUCCUGCUCCUGGAGCCCAUGGCAAGGGACCACUAGGCUGAGGCCUGGUGCAGCUACACCCUCCUCCUGAAGAGCAGAGCCACAUCCUCUUCUUCCCUAGCCAGGGCUCAGUGCUCUCUCUGGGACCUGGGCAGGAGCAGAGUGUGGAGCAGUGGUUAGCUGACAAGGGUCACUCCCUGAUACAGCUGGCUGACCAAGGGUGUGAAGGAUAACAAACUUAGCUCUCAGCCUCCGUCUAAAGCAGAGAUAGAGUGUCCUAGGGGUGCAGCUGUUUAGACAAUAAUGGCAUACAAGACAGGAGCAGGAAUGUGAAAAAGUCCCAGCCGAAUAAACCGCAAUAAUGCAGACCUAGGCGUGUUUGACCUUUAACCAUGUAACCAAUCAUGAGCUUACUUUUGCACUAUGCAUGAGUUUCAUUAACACUAGUAUAAAAACAUGUAUCGAUAAUCAAUAAAUGAGACUUGCUG